rnacentral:rRNA from 1 species
UACGUAGGGUGCAAGCGUUAAUCGGAUUCACUGGGCUUAAAGGGAGCGUAGGUGGGCUGGUAAGUCAGUGGUGAAAUCUCCGAGCUUAACUUGGAAACUGCCAUUGAUACUAUUAGUCUUGAAUAUUGUGGAGGUCAGCGGAAUAUGUCAUGUAGCGGUGAAAUGCUUAGAGAUGACAUAGAACACCAAUUGCGAAGGCAGCUGGCUACGCAUAUAUUGACACUGAGGCUCGAAAGCGUGGGGAUCAGACAGG